rnacentral:rRNA from 1 species
UGGGGAAUAUUGCACAAUGGGCGAAAGCCUGAUGCAGCAACGCCGCGUGCGGGAUGACGGCCUUCGGGUUGUAAACCGCUUUCAGCAGGGACGAAGGUUUUCUGACGGUACCUGCAGAAGAAGCACCGGCUAACUACGUGCCAGCAGCCGCGGUGAUACGUAGGGUGCGAGCGUUGUCCGGAAUUAUUGGGCGUAAAGAGCUUGUAGGCGGUCCGUUGCGUCGGAAGUGAAAACUCAGGGCUUAACCCUGAGCCUGCUUUCGAUACGGGCGGACUUGAGGGAUGUAGGGGAGAACGGAAUUCCUGGUGGAGCGGUGGAAUGCGCAGAUAUCAGGAGGAACACCAGUGGCGAAGGCGGUUCUCUGGACAUUUCCUGACGCUGAGAAGCGAAAGCGUGGGGAGCAAACAGGCUUAGAUACCCUGGUAGUCCACGCCGUAAACGGUGGCACUAGGUGUGGGACCCAUUCCACGGGUUCCGUGCCGUAGCUAACGCAUUAAGUGCCCCGCCUGGGGAGUACGGCCGCAAGGCUAAAACUCAAAGGAAUUGACGGGGUCAUAGCUG